CUGCCUCCUCCUCCUCCUCUCCCCCUGCUCGUACUCUUGAGAUAUUUUACUUUCUUCUUCUCACGACUUAAUCACUCGAAUCGUAAUUUAUCAGGUUUUACUUCAGCUUCUUGUUCAACGAGAUCCAUCAACAACAUCAAUUCUUGAAGAUAUGUUCUAUAUCGAUGAAGAAGAUUCGACGAAGAUCAUCAACAACAUAAAACGAAGAUUCAUCAACAAAGAAUGAAUCGAAAGAUGGGUGAUAGAAGAUACACAGUUUACUCAAUCAUGUAUUUGGCUCCUAAAAUCAGUGGAAAGUUUCCAAAGGGAAUGGUGAAUGUGCCCACUACCAUUGUAAAGGUGAAACCUAAUACUAUUGGGGAAAAGGCUGCUGCUGCAGCACUAAUUCUAGCACAUGGAAUGGCAGCUCCUAAUAGCAACAAUGCUUCUGCAGAUAGCAAUGUCGCGGAAGAAGCAUUGAUGGGGGUCGAAUGCAAAAGAGUUUCUAUCAAAGAAGAGAUGGACUGUGAUAGUGACAUGAGCUGACAUGAGCAUUGAGAUGGAAUAUGAUGUGCAACAUUGAGAUGGACUGUGAUAGUGACAUGAGCGAGGCAUCUUCCUCCGAGGCCGUUCCUUCCUAAAAGCGUUCUUCGUGGGUGUUUUGAAUGUACUAAUUGAUAAAAGCUCACGGCAAAGUGGUGUCCAGAAGCUGCACAAAGGCCUGUCCUUGAGGCUGACUUUUCUCGAUGAAACCAGUAUACGGGAUGUUGGAAAAGGAGCACUUGGAAGUGUAUAAGGAACUUAAAGCUUGGCGACCUUGAAGUGUUGCUUAGAUUGCUGAAUCAUCUUUUGGAGGGAGAAGUGACAAUGUGCAACUGACUACAAGGGAGUAAAGAAGACAGUGCGUUUAGGUUUGAAAUUAUAACAAUUCUCGAUAACAUAAUGUCAUACUCUAUGAGAAUUAAACUUGCACGUUUGAUGAAGGUUGUGAACAUAUAAUUAUAUAAAUGUCAAGAAGAAUUGACUCGUCCAUUUACUUAGAUAUGUUGUAGAAAUCUAACUCAAAGCCCAUUUAUAUUCAUGUUCAGUGUGGCACUCAAUGUGUCCCUCAUUGGUAUUCUGCCUGGAUUUGGCCUGAGUUUAGAAACUGAACUCAUUGGGUAUAUUGAUUGUAUGUUAUUGGCAUGAAUAAAUUUUCGA